ensembl:snoRNA
AGCCUCCUAGUGCUUAUCACAGGCUGUUUUCUUACACUGACUGUAUAGAAAAAGGAGGCUGAGCAAACCUGACCCAUGUAUACCUCAGCCCAGGCCACUGUGCCUGCUCUGUACUGUGCAUGGGGAGACAUAA